AUUCUUGGUCAUUUUAGAGGAAGUAAAAGUCGUAACAGGGUCUCCGUAGGUGAACCUGCGGAGGGAUCAUUACAAGUGACCCCGGUCUAACCGCCGGGAUGUUCACAACCCUUUGUUGUCCGACUCUGUUGCCUCCGGGGCGACCCUGCCUCCGGGCGGGGGCCCCGGGUGGACAUUUCAAACUCUUGCGUAACUUUGCAGUCUGAGUAAAUUUAAUUAAUAAAUUAAAACUUUCAACAACGGAUCUCUUGGUUCUGGCAUCGAUGAAGAACGCAGCGAAAUGCGAUAAGUAAUGUGAAUUGCAGAAUUCAGUGAAUCAUCGAAUCUUUGAACGCACAUUGCGCCCCCUGGUAUACCGGGGGGCAUGCCUGUUCGAGCGUCAUUUCACCACUCAAGCCUCGCUUGGUAUUGGGCGACGCGGUCCGCCGCGCGCCUCAAAUCGACCGGCUGGGUCUUUCGUCCCCUCAGCGUUGUGGAAACUAUUCGCUAAAGGGUGCCGCGGGAGGCCACGCCGUGAAACAACCCCAUUUCUAAGGUUGACCUCGGAUCAGGUAGGACUACCCGCUGAACUUAAGCAUAUCAAUAAGCGGAGGAAAAGAAACUAACAAGGAUUCCCCUAGUAACUGCGAGUGAAGCGGGAAAAGCUCAAAUUUAAAAUCUGGCGGUCUUUGGCUGUCCGAGUUGUAAUCUAGAGAAGUGCCAUCCGCGCUGGACCGUGUACAAGUCUCCUGAAUC
rnacentral:rRNA from 1 species